GGAGUCUAGCAUGUGCGCGAGUCAUUGGGAUUCGUAGCUAAACCUAAAGGCGAAAUGAAAGUGAAGACGCGCCUCGCGCGCGCCGAGGGAGGAUGGGCGAGGCACCGCUUCGCCCCGCACUCCCGGGGCGUCUCGUUCUCAUCGCGAGAAGAGGCGCACCCAGAGCGUACACGCUGGGACCCGAAAGAUGGUGAACUAUGCCUGGUCAGGACGAAGUCAGGGGAAACCCUGAUGGAGGUCCGUAGCGAUUCUGACGUGCAAAUCGAUCGUCGGAACUGGGUAUAGGGGCGAAAGACUAAUCGAACCAUCUAGUAGCUGGUUCCCUCCGAAGUUUCCCUCAGGAUAGCUGGCGCUCGCUUUUGCGAGUCUCAUCCGGUAAAGCGAAUGAUUAGAGGCAUUGGGGUCGAAACGGCCUCAACCUAUUCUCAAACUUUAAAUGGGUGAGAUCUCCGGCUUGCUUAAAUACCUGUUUAUGAAGCCGCGAGAUCGGAUCAGAGUGCCAAGUGGGCCAUUUUUGGUAAGCAGAACUGGCGCUGUGGGAUGAACCAAACGCGGAGUUAAAGCGCCUAAAUCGACGCUUAUGAGAUACCAUGAAAGGCGUUGGUAACUUAAGACAGCAGGACGGUGGCCAUGGAA
rnacentral:rRNA from 1 species